rnacentral:rRNA from 1 species
UACGGAGGGGGCAAGCGUUAUCCGGAUUCACUGGGUUUAAAGGGUGCGUAGGUGGUCAGGUAAGUCAGUGGUGAAAUCUCCGGGCUUAACCCGGAAACUGCCGUUGAUACUAUUUGUCUUGAAUAUUGUGGAGGUAAGCGGAAUAUGUCAUGUAGCGGUGAAAUGCUUAGAUAUGACAUAGAACACCAAUUGCGAAGGCAGCUUACUACACAAUGAUUGACACUGAGGCACGAAAGCGUGGGGAUCAAACAGG